rnacentral:lncRNA from 1 species
UCUGAAUUGAUCCACCAUCCCAGCCCACAGAUCGGCGACACACCAUGGAGGAGGACGACGACACCCGGCGGCCGGCGGCGGUUGAGGCGAAGGCAUUGCUUCGGGCCUCGCUGCCGGACGCUGGGCAACACCUUAACUAGCAAGGAGGUGUUCAACUGGGCCAAUAGCAACAACCAGCGGCUGCUCCACGUCGGCGACAUUGAUAGAACAAGCAAGUCCUACAUUUACACAUCGUGCUCCAUGUGGCUGGCCGCAGAGGAUAGGAUGGAGUCCGCCGGUGAUAGAGGUUGUUUGCUAUUUUUCUUUUGCUCUAUUGACAUGAACGAGAAUAUGAUGGAUGGCUGCUACUGCACAAAGUCGUGCUCAUCUCUAUACCACACCGCUACAUCCUUCCAUGAUUCCAUCAUCGACUACUGCUCACCGCCCGGUUGCCCUCUGCACUACCAGUCACAAGACACAGACCGUGCUCUUCAUCCUUAUAGCAAGAUCCAACAAAGCCACCAGAUGGAUUUUUGGCUGAAUCAUUUUAUCGCUUGA